UUACGACCAUAUCACGUUCAAGCACCGAUCAUCUUGCAAUCACCGAAGUUAAGCAAUGUCGAGCCUAGUCAGUACUUAGAUGGGUGACAGCUUAGCAAUAGCAGGUGCUGUAAG